rnacentral:rRNA from 1 species
UAAGCGGAGGAAAAGAAACUAACCAGGAUUCCCCUAGUAACGGCGAGUGAAGCGGGAAUAGCUCAAAUUUUAAAUCUGGCCGGCGUGGUCGGUCCGAGUUGUAAUUUGAAGAAGCGAUUAUCACGUUUUCGUUCGGGUUCAAGUUCCUUGGAAUAGGACAUCAGAGAGGGUGAGAAUCCCGUCUGUGAUCCGAUCGGUUUCGGUACGAUAACGUUUCUAAGAGUCGAGUUGUUUGGGAUUGCAGCUCAAAAUGGGUGGUAAAUUCCAUCUAAGGCUAAAUAUUGGCGAGAGACCGAUAGCGAACAAGUACCGUGAGGGAAAGAUGAAAAGCACUUUGGAAAGAGAGUUAAAAAGCACGUGAAAUUGUUGAAAGGGAAGCGCUUGCAGCCAGACUUGCCUGUAGUUGCUCAUCCGGGUUUCUACCCGGUGCACUCUUCUACGGGCAGGCCAGCAUCAGUUUGGGCGGUUGGAUAAAGGUCUCUGUCAUGUACCUCCCUUUCGGGGGAGAUCUUAUAGGGGAGACGACAUGCAACCAGCCUGGACUGAGGUCCGCGCAUCUGCUAGGAUGCUGGCGUAAUGGCUGUAAGCGGCCCGUCUUGAAACACGGACCAAGGAGUCUAACAUGUGUGCGAGU